UCAGAGGUAAACGGGUGGAGUUGAACUGUGAUCUCUGUGAAUUUAGCUGGUGAACGUGGUUUGAACUUGGUCAAAUUGGUUGUUAUUUGGGGUCUGCUUAGCUGCAGGUCUCCGCCUAUGGUGGAGAUGCGCGAGGCACUUAUCAGGUGUUGCGCGCCUCAGGUGAAUCGGACCAGUUCGCCAGUGCAUUUUCACAGAGUGUUCACCACGACCGGCAUCGCUGUCCGGCUGGUAUGGUUAAACCGGUCUUGCAUUGUCCUCGUGGCUUUGCUUGGUCGGGAUGGCAGGUAGCUCUUGGGCUUGCUCGCAGUUCGCUGUGGGUUCAGGUCCUUGAGUGUAAACAGCUGACCGUAUCGGUUCUGUGCAGUAUGUCGGAGACGGCGGCUUGUGGUGUGUGCGUGCGUGCCAGUUGGCUGGCGAGUCCGGGUUUGGUUAUUAUGUUGCCUGUGUUGGCAGGCCUAAUGAUAGCUCGGAUUCGUUCGGCUGACGGUUGCGUGCGUGUCACUUUCCAGGGCCAAUAGUCUGUGGUGUUGCGGUAGACUUUCCACCUGACCCGUCUUGAAACACGGACCAAGGAGAGUAACAUGUACGCGAGUCAUUGGGCGUAACGAAACCCAAAGGCGAAGUGAAAGUAAAGGUCUGGCUUGUCUAGACUGAGGUGAGAUCCUGUCGUUUCUCACACGUGGUAUCCCCAAGUAUCGAACGGCAGGCGCAUCACCGGCCCGUCCCAUGGUGUGGUGACACUUCAGUGUUCGUCAUCGGGGCGGAGCAUGAGCGUACAUGUUGAGACCCGAAAGAUGGUGAACUAUGCUUGCGCAGGUUGAAGCCAGAGGAAACUCUGGUGGAGGACCGCAGCGAUUCUGACGUGCAAAUCGAUCGUCAGACGUGAGUAUAGGGGC
rnacentral:rRNA from 1 species